rnacentral:rRNA from 1 species
AACGAACGCUGGCGGCAGGCUUAACACAUGCAAGUCGAGCGCCCCGCAAGGGGAGCGGCAGACGGGUGAGUAACGCGUGGGAAUCUACCCAUCUCUACGGAAUAACGCAUGGAAACGUGUGCUAAUACCGUAUACGUCCUUCGGGAGAAAGAUUUAUCGGAGAUGGAUGAGCCCGCGUUGGAUUAGCUAGUUGGUGGGGUAAAGGCCCACCAAGGCGACGAUCCAUAGCUGGUCUGAGAGGAUGAUCAGCCACACUGGGACUGAGACACGGCCCAGAGUCCUACGGGAGGCAGCAGUGGGGAAUAUUGGACAAUGGGCGCAAGCCUGAUCCAGCCAUGCCGCGUGAGUGAUGAAGGCCCUAGGGUUGUAAAGCUCUUUCACCGGUGAAGAUAGUGACGGUAACCGGAGAAGAAGCCCCGGCUAACUUCGUGCCAGCAGCCGCAGUAACAC